rnacentral:rRNA from 1 species
ACUGAACAAGGAUUCCCCUAGUAACGGCGAGUGAAGCGGGAUGAGCUCAAAUUUGAAAGCUGGCAUCUUCGGUGUCCGCAUUGUAAUCUCGAGAAGUGUUUUCUGUGUUGGGUCAUGCACAAGUCCCUUGGAAAAGGGCAUCAAAGAGGGUGAUAAUCCCGUACUUGGCAUGAAUUCCAAUGCUUUGUGAUACGCUCUCUAUGAGUCGAGUUGUUUGGGAAUGCAGCUCAAAAUGGGUGGUAAACUCCAUCUAAAGCUAAAUAUUGGGGAGAGACCGAUAGCGAACAAGUACCGUGAGGGAAAGAUGAAAAGCACUUUGGAAAGAGAGUUAAACAGUACGUGAAAUUGUCAAAAGGGAAGCGCUUGAGGUUAGCUAUGCAUGCAGGAUUCAGCUUUUCUUUUGAGGAGUGUAUUUUCUGUAUGCAGGCCAGCAUCAGUUUUGACUGCUGGAUAAGGGUAUGAGGAAUGUGGCACCCUCGGGUGUGUUAUAGCCUUAUACUUGAUACAGCGGUUGGGACUGAGGAACGCAGUGCGCCGUAUGGCGGGCCUUCGGGUACCUUCGCACUUUG